CCUACGGGAGGCAGCAGCGGGGAAUAUUGGGCAAUGGAGGAAACUCUGACCCAGCAACGCCGCGUGAAUGAUGAAGGUCUUCGGAUUGUAAAGUUCUUUUCUAAGGGAAGAAGAAAGUGACGGUACCUUAGGAAUAAGCCUCGGCUAACUACGGGCCAGCAGCCGCGGUAAUACGUAGGAGGCAAGCGUUAUCCGGAAUGACUGGGCGUAAAGGGUGCGUAGGGGGUUUGACAAGUUGGUAGCGUAACUCCGAGGCUUAACCUCGGCACUACUACCAAAACUGUUGGACUCGAGUGCAGGAGGGGCAACUGGAAUUCCUAGUGUAGCGGUGGAAUGCGUAGAUAUUAGGAGGAACACCAGUGGCGAAGGCGAUUUGCUGGACUGUAACUGACACUGAGGCACGAAAGCGUGGGGAGCAAACAGGAUUAGAUACCCCUGUAGUC
rnacentral:rRNA from 1 species